rnacentral:rRNA from 1 species
AGAGCGAACGCUGGCGGCAGGCUUAACACAUGCAAGUCGAGCGGGCGUAGCAAUACGUCAGCGGCAGACGGGUGAGUAACGCGUGGGAACGUACCUUUGGUUCGGAACAACACAGGGAAACUUGUGCUAAUACCGGAUAAGCCCUUACGGGGAAAGAUUUAUCGCCGAAAGAUCGGCCCGCGUCUGAUUAGCUAGUUGGUGAGGUAACGGCUCACCAAGGCGACGAUCAGUAGCUGGUCUGAGAGGAUGAUCAGCCACAUUGGGACUGGGACACGGCCCAAACUCCUACGGGAGGCAGCAGUGGGGAAUAUGGACAAUGGGCGCAAGCCUGGAUCCAGCCAUGCCGCGUGAGUGAUGAAGGCCCUAGGGUUGUAAAGCUCUUUGUGCGGGAAGAUAAUGACGGUACCGCAAGAAUAAGCCCGGCUAACUUCGCGCCAGCAGCCGC